rnacentral:rRNA from 1 species
UACGAAGGGGGCGAGCGUUGUUCGGAUUUACUGGGCGUAAAGGGCGCGCAGGCGGUUCUGUUUGUCGAGGGUGAAAGCCCCGGGCUCAACCUGGGAACUGCGCUCGAAACGACGGAACUAGAGUUCGGGAGAGGAGAGUGGAAUUCCCAGUGUAGAGGUGAAAUUCGUAGAUAUUGGGAAGAACACCGGUGGCGAAGGCGGCUCUCUGGACCGAUACUGACGCUGAGGCGCGAAAGCGUGGGGAGCAAACAGG